rnacentral:rRNA from 1 species
AUUGAACGCUGGCGGAAUGCUUUACACAUGCAAGUCGAACGGCAGCACGGGGGCAGCCCUGGUGGCGAGUGGCGAACGGGUGAGUAAUACAUCGGAACGUGCCCGGUCGUGGGGGAUAACGUAGCGAAAGUUACGCUAAUACCGCAUACGAUCUGAGGAUGAAAGCGGGGGACCUUCGGGCCUCGCGCGAUCGGAGCGGCCGAUGUCAGAUUAGGUAGUUGGUGGGGUAAAGGCCUACCAAGCCGACGAUCGGUAGCUGGUCUGAGAGGACGACCAGCCACACUGGGACUGAGACACGGCCCAGACUCCUACGGGAGGCAGCAGUGGGGAAUUUUGGACAACGGGCGCAAGCCUGAUCCAGCCAUUCCGCGUGCAGGACGAAGGCCUUCGGGUUGUAAACUGCUUUUGUACGGAACGAAAAGGCUCUGGCUAAUACCUGGGGCUCAUGACGGUACCGUAAGAAUAAGCACCGGCUAACUACGUG